CUGGCAGUGCCAGCCCAGAGCUUGUGUCUCCUCACAGGAGAAGACAGCAAAGGUUUCUGCAACCCACCUCAUUGGGGACAAGGGAAGGGUGACUUUGGAAAAAAGACCCUGACUCUUAGGUCUGGCUUGGACCUUACCAGCAAUCUGGAGACCCAGGACCCCCACCGUGGAGAACAAAGCUGGGAAGAGCUGCGUGAGGAUCGCGUUUCCUCCAGUUGACACCGCCAUCGCUGUCAUGAAGUAUGGUUACCUAGGUGACCUUCAAAGACCUUGGCCCACACUCAAGGCCAAAGAACACACAGAAAAAUACCAACAGUCAGGCCAGUGACAGGGUUUCUCUGCAUAGCCCUGGAUGUGCUGGAACUUGCUUUGUAGACCAGGCUGGCCUAGAAUCCACAGAGAUCUUCCUGCCUUUGCCUCUUGACCAAAUGCUAGGAUUAAAGGCAUGUGCCACCACCACCCAGCUGAGAGACCAUCAUAAAGGGGCAGGUGUGGAGGCA
rnacentral:lncRNA from 1 species